GAUGAACGCUUGCGGCGUGCCUAACACAUGCAAGUCGAACGGAGAUUACGGACGGAAGUUUUCGGAUGGAAGACUGUAAUUCUUAGUGGCGGACGGGUGAGUAACGCGUGGGCAACCUGCCCUAUACAGGGGGAUAGCAGCUGGAAACGGCUGGUAAGACCGCAUAAGUCGGCGAGACCGCAUGGUUUUGCCGGGAAAUGAGCAAUCAGGUAUAGGAUGGGCCCGCGUCCGAUUAGCCAGUUGGCAGGGUAAAAGCCUACCAAAGCAACGAUCGGUAGCCGGACUGAGAGGUCGGACGGCCACAUUGGGACUGAGACACGGCCCAAACUCCUACGGGAGGCAGCAGUGGGGGAUAUUGCACAAUGGAGGAAACUCUGAUGCAGCGACGCCGCGUGAGUGAAGAAGUAUUUCGGUAUGUAAAGCUCUAUCAGCAGGGAAGAUGAUGACGGUACCUGACUAAGAAGCCCCGGCUAACUACGUG
rnacentral:rRNA from 1 species